UACGGGGGGGCGAAGCGUUGUCGUCGAAUUACUGGGCGUAAAGGGCUCGUAGGCGGCCAACUAAGUCCGACGUGAAAUCUCCAGGCUUAACCUGGAAAGUGCAGAGGGGACUGUUCAGCUAGAGGAUGGGAGAGGAGCGCGGAAUUCCCGGUGUAGCGGUGAAAUGCGUAGAGAUCGGGAGGAAGGCCGGUGGCGAAGGCGGCGCUCUGGAACAUUUCUGACGCUGAGGCUCGAAAGCGUGGGGAGCAAACAGG
rnacentral:rRNA from 1 species